AUGGUGCUCAUGUGACAACUGAAGCCUGGCAUGAUGGAUGACUUGGGUAACCUCUGGAGGGGACUUACAUUGUGACCAUAAAGCACAGUGACCGUGUGAAAAACAUUGCAGGCCUGGAGCAAAAGAUAAACUUCAUGCUUGAUGAAAAACAGCAGAAAGAAGACAGUGAAGAAACAUUUCUUUGUUCCGUCCUUCCUUGGUGCUUGCCUGCCUUCUUCACCAACACAUUGGAAGUUGUGGAACGCACGGAUAUGUACUUUACAAUGGAAUUAUAUAUAACGGCAUAACAGUCCAAGCACAAACCACGGAACCCUUGCUCUGCUUGUGUUUCAGAGUAAACUCCUCAUGAUCAACUGCAAAAUUCAUGAAGAAAUAUCAUUAUGGAUGGCCAUAUGGUAGAACAGAAAGAUUAUCCUCAUUCCUAGGAAUGAGGAAAUUCUAUUAAAUGCAGCUUC